UACAGAGGUGGCAAGCGUUGUUCGGAAUUACUGGGCGUUAAAGGGCUCGUAGGCGGCCAACUAAGUCAGACGUGAAAUCCCUCGGCUUAAACCGGGGAACUGCGUCUGAUACUGGAUGGCUUGAAUCGGGAGAGGGAUGCGGAAUUCCUGGUGGUAGCGGUGAAAUGCGCAGAUAUCAGGAAGAACACCAAUUGCGAAGGCAGCUCGCUACACGAAUAUGACUCUGAGGCGAAAGCCGUGGGGAUC
rnacentral:rRNA from 1 species